rnacentral:rRNA from 1 species
AUUGAACGCUGGCGGCAGGCUUAACACAUGCAAGUCGAGCGGAGAUGAGGUGCUUGCACCUUAUCUUAGCGGCGGACGGGUGAGUAAUGCUUAGGAAUCUGCCUAUUAGUGGGGGACAACAUUCCGAAAGGAAUGCUAAUACCGCAUACGCCCUACGGGGGAAAGCAGGGGAUCUUCGGACCUUGCGCUAAUAGAUGAGCCUAAGUCGGAUUAGCUAGUUGGUGGGGUAAAGGCCUACCAAGGCGACGAUCUGUAGCGGGUCUGAGGGGAUGAUCCGCCACACUGGACUGAGACACGGCCCAGACUCCUACGGGAGGCAGCAGUGGGGAAUAUUGGACAAUGGGCGGAAGCCUGAUCCAGCCAUGCCGCGUGUGUGAAGAAGGCCUUUUGGUUGUAAAGCACUUUAAGCGAGGAGGAGGCUACCUGGAUUAAUACUCUAGGAUAGUGGACGUUACUCGCAGAAUAAGCACCGGCUAACUCUGUGCCAGCCGCCGCAGUAACAC